rnacentral:rRNA from 1 species
ACGAACGCUGGCGGCGUGCUUAACACAUGCGAGUCGCACGGAAAGGCCCUGCUUUUGUGGGGUGCUCGAGUGGCGAACGGGUGAGUAACACGUGAGUAACCUGCCCUUGACUUUGGGAUAACUUCAGGAAACUGGGGCUAAUACCGGAUAGGAGCUCCUGCUGCAUGGUGGGGGUUGGAAAGUUUCGGCGGUUGGGGAUGGACUCGCGGCUUAUCAGCUUGUUGGUGGGGUAGUGGCUUACCAAGGCUUUGACGGGUAGCCGGCCUGAGAGGGUGACCGGCCACAUUGGGACUGAGAUACGGCCCAGACUCCUACGGGAGGCAGCAGUGGGGAAUAUUGCACAAUGGGCGGAAGCCUGAUGCAGCAACGCCGCGUGCGGGAUGACGGCCUUCGGGUUGUAAACCGCUUUCGCCUGUGACGAAGCGUGAGUGACGGUAAUGGGUAAAGAAGCACCGGCUAACUACGUG